UGGCUGCCAAGAGGCAUUCUGUCUUUCAGACACCUUAUUACUUCUGUGCGGCCCCUGAUUUACUUUUGGGGCUUUACCUCCCACCUGCAAAGGGGGCCAUAAAUGCAAUUUCAAUGCAAGCUUGUUCUUUUGUGAGUACAGCAGAGGGCCCAAUCCAUAUACUGUGCACUUGGCCCCAGUAAUUCUGGUAGUACUCCUGAGGUCACCUAAGCGAUCGCCUCGCCACAUAUAUCUCUGCCCAGCAACUGCGUUCCUGAUAAGGGGAAAUGAAGAGAGUACAGUGGUACCUCUGGUUACAUACUCUUCAGGUUGCACUAAAUUCUUCCAGCCAUCUGGAAUCAAUUACCAAAGAGAAUUAGGCACCAAGAGUCAGGAUGUUUAGACACCCAUAUUUUUUAUUAAGAAGCUUUUUUGUGAGAUGUGACCCAUUCUUUUGUGAACUAUUAACUAUGUCUGUAGGAAAGGUUUUAUUGUUUUUAGAAUUUGUAGGAAGCCUUGGCAUAGGCAUUGGGCGUGUAUCUGAGGCAUGACAGGGUCUGUUCAGGGGUGGAUCCAUAGCAAAACUUAGGUUUACGCAGAUGGCCCCCAAAUGCUGCGGGAAGCCCACUAGCCCUGCACGAUUGACUCUUUGGACAGAGACUUCCCUCCAGACCCCUCUAAUGUGGUACCCUAUUAUCACUGUCACAGGGAUGAAUGUAUGAAAGACUAUAGGAUUCUACCCAAGGCCUAAACUGCCAAAGUUGUGACUAGUGCUGUGGGGAAGGCGAAACCUGCAGAACAGGGAAGAAUCCUUCCCAGCCCUGAAUAUGAUGACUGUGAAAAAACCACAGCAAAGCCCUCCCAAGCUGAAAAGGAAUUGAUUAAAACAGCAAACAACUAAAACGAAGGGAGGGAGAAGGGUGGGUGACGCUCUUGCCUGACUGGAUGAGGAAGGUAGGAUUGGCUGGGAAUUACUGUUGCCAAGCGGACCUGAGUGAAGCAUUUCUCCCUCGGGUCCAUUCGUCAAUCCACGCCCCACUAAGGUGGCCACGGAUUGGCUCAUUUGAAUCAGCGGGUUUGGCGGGAUCCCAUGAGCCUCCAUGGUGGCUGAGGGGGACAUGCUGUGCAUCCAUGCAGCAAUGGAGGCGUUGCACUGGGCCGCAACCACUGCUCACCAAUGAGAUCUCAAUCAGCCUGUGCUUGAGACACUAUGAAAAUAAGUUGAGCAGCCCACACAGUGCCAGGACCCUAGUUUAUCCUUUGUUUCCAGCAACAUAUAAAGCAAACACUGAGGAACUCAAAUACGGAAGGAAGCCAGUGGAUCUUGGUCAUAACCCAACAAGCAGCAAAUCAAGUGGAUUAGUAGCAGCUGACAUGUUUCUGCAAGAUGGCGCACCAGCUUUGCUUCUCAAUUCCCUGCGUGAGGUUAUAUUGAUGUUUUCAGGAGACAUAAGAAAUGAACCUGAAACAUGCAUUCAAAGCAGCUCAUUUUGCGGGCCAAAGAAUUCUACAGCCUAUAUAUCAGAGUGCACCUUAACCUGCUUCUCCCCUCUCCUUCAUCUCACUAUCAAAUCAUACCCAUUUCGGAGGAUUGUUUGUUUUUUAUUAAAAAAACAUUCAAAAGUUACAAUACAUUUUAAAUCAACAUAUCCCCUCCAGAGACCUCUGCAAUGAUGGUGGCAUUAAAAUAAGAACAGGAUAUUUUAAUUUUGGAGGUGGUGUGUCCAAGGAGUAAGCUUGACAAGCAGGUUUCUGUUAAAAGUUCAACAAAGCCCUUAAGGUGUCUGGUCUUGCAAGCAACAUGUUAAGUUACCAUGGCUCCCCCCACCUCCUUUUUGCAUGCAUUAAGUGAGCCAUAAUCUUGAGCCUUUAUGUUUGGUCUGUUUCCUUGCCUCCACAGGCACACCCCUUUCCUACUGGUGUCCCACAUACCAAUGCUGUUAUGCACUGUCUGCUUUGGCCCUCCUACAAGCCUGGUGGUGCCGUCAGCUCCCUCUUCCCGUCACAGCAGCAGCUUCCUCUCUUUAAACAGACCAACUGAAUUAGGCCACUGACGGAAGCUGGCUUACCACAAGUGUUGUGUUUCUGGCUAGCUCUUUUCUAGGUAAAGUUGGAAAAGUCCCUUUCAAGUAGCAAUCGUCAGAAUCUCAGACACGGGGGCGGCGAUGGCCAGAGCUUUUAAAAUGUCCAUGAUUGGUAACUUGUUUGUUUUUUCUUUCUUUCCAAAAAAGGAAGCUGCUAUGUGCGAUGGAAAUGAUAAUUCAUUCUGAGAAAUCUCACACUUCCUUGCUUUCACUGAACUGAGCUUGCUAUAGGGGUCUUUCCAACCUUGGAUUUUAUCUUUAUUGUUAAAAGUCAAAUCUAUCUUCCAGUGCGCAGUCCUGAUCUGUAAUUGAUUGGAGAUCCGCAAAGGUAUCAAUAAUAACACCAAAAAUCAGAUUGAGGACAAUAAUGAUCACCAUGAAGAAGAAGAGGAGGUCAUAGAUCACUCUUGCAGCAA